UUGAUUAUUAAUUAUUUUAAUAGAUUUUCUUUCCCUAUCUUAUUUAGGCUUGUUUAUGUCUCGGUCACGUUUAAAACAUUUGUAUAUUUGCCAACAAUGCAGAAUGUGUCACAAUUUAAAGAAAUAUUAAUUUCAUUAAUCUAUCUCAAUUUUUAACUAUGCAGAUAAACUAACUUAUUAAAAAAAACUAAAGCCGUCAAUAAGCUGAGUUCCUACACUGAUUUGUAUUUAUAAGUAAAUGUACUUUUAUAAAAUGCAGUUGUUAAAGGACAACACAUUAAAAUGAAAAUGACAUGUUGCACGCGAGCCAAAUCCACCAAAUAUCGGCCUUUAUAAAUUUCAGCUAAAUCCUCUGCAGGCAUCGGGGCGAGGCCCGUGUCGCCGAGGAUAACAUGACGUCAUGUCAUCUCCAGAGAUCAAGGCUCGUGACUUCUCGUUUCAUAUAAAGUAAAGCUGGCACGUUGGCGUUGACGCCUGGACGAUGCGCCCCUCCAACGGCACAGACCACGUGUCGGGAGCGGUGCCUCUCUCCGUGAGCUUCGACAGCGCCGCGGAUUACUUCAUCUUCACCUUCCAGGUUUUAUUCGCCACCACCACGGUUCUUGUGGCGGGGACGGUGGUCGUCGGCAUCUUAUGCAGCCGAGCGCUGCGCCUCCAGAACAGGUUCAUUUUCAUGUCCAACACCAGCAUUUGUGACACGCUGAUCGGCUUCUCCGUGUAUUAUCUGGGCCUGUUUGACGUCCAGGAGGGAUACCCGUCGAGGAACGGCACCUACAACGUGCUGCCCACACUCCUGGGGGUCAACAUCAUUACGUUUCUGUUUGCACAGUUAGACCGGUACUUUGCUGUGUGUCAUCCGUUCAUCUACAGCCGCUUCGUGACGCGGCGGGUCGUGAUCUGCGUUAACGUCGGCUGCUGGCUUUACAACUUCGCCCACGUGCUCGCCAGGAACCUGCUGCCACUCGGCAAAGCGGUGCAGAUGUACGCGCUCAGCAUAGUGCUCUUUCAGUUCAUCGUGCUCGCCAAUGUCGCCAUGACCGUUAAAUUGUACGUCGUUGCCCGAUUCCAAGUGGAGAGGGAGCCUCCGAGCGCCGAGAAAGACGGCAAAAAGGAAUCGCUGAGGAUCAUCAUCUUUGUUGUGAUGAGCUUUUUGUUGCUGUGGUUCCCCUCGUUUGUGAACAUCGUCCUCAGACUGACCGCAGGUCAAGGCCUGACGUUUCGAAACGAGGCCACGAACCUGUUCGCCAUCAUGGCCCGUUUCAACGCGGUGUGCACGCCCUCUGCUUACAUGUGGGGGAGUCCGGCUCUGCGGGAGGCGGCGCUGAGGACAGUGUGGGGCCGACUGUGUCCGCGGUGCAAGAGGAGAGUCGGCUCCAGCCACAGGAAGGAAGACAGGGCUACCGUCUUCUACAGGAAAUAACUAGGAACUAAGGAAUCCGACAUCCAAAGUGGAAAUUAAACCUGAUAUGUCACUAAUAUCAUAUUAGAACCAUAAUAUAAGGCUGUAAAUAAUGAAAGUGAUGUUGUGUCUUUGUGCAUUGGGCGUAAACAUCAUAAUUAUAAGUACAAUCCCGCAGAUUCAGUCUAAAAGCUCUAAAGCUCACAAUCCAAAUGAUUCUCUGGUUCAAAUACGGUAUGUCUGUGUGAUGCCUGGGCCCAAAAGGAACGGACUGUUCACAGACAAGUAAACCAUGCGCGUUCCUAUAAUAAAAACAGCCAACAGCUCCA
rnacentral:lncRNA from 1 species